CAGUCGCCGCGGGAAUACGAAGGGUGCAAGCGUUACUCGGAAUUACUGGGCGUAAAGCGUGCGUAGGUGGUGGUUUAAGUCCGUUGUGAAAGCCCUGGGCUCAACCUGGGAAUUGCAGUGGAUACUGGGUCACUAGAGUGUGGUAGAGGAUAGUGGAAUUUCCGGUGUAGCAGUGAAAUGCGUAGAGAUCGGAAGGAACAUCUGUGGCGAAGGCGACUAUCUGGGCCAACACUGACACUGAGGCACGAAAGCGAGGGGAGCAAACAGGAUUAGAUACCCGAGUAGUCCCUGUCUCUUAUAC
rnacentral:rRNA from 1 species